AAUUAUUGGUCACCCUACUGCCAUCUGAUCUCUCUAGCUAUUGCCGGCUACCCUCCAUAGCUUUCUUGCCAGAUUCCAGAGAUGGGCUGGCAGCAGCAGUGAGGUUGGACUACCUGAUUUUGGAAUUUCAUUCCUCACAUUUUUUCAACGAUUUCAAUUCCAAUUAGAGUUCUUGUUGGGAAACCUUUGAUCUUUGGAUUCUCUGCUCAUUUUGUUGUUCUUUCAAUACUGAAUUUUCUGUGGGCUAAGUGCAUGUUGUUGAUCCGAAGGUUUUGAAUUUGAUUUUAGUUUUAUAGAUUACUUGUCAAAUAUGUUUGGAAUUUAUGGUUGAACUGAUGUAAUAAUUAAUUUGGAUUCAAUAUCAUGCACAGGGAAUUAA
rnacentral:misc_RNA from 1 species